UACAAUUCUCACAGCACCAAACAGCCAUUUCCGCCUACCAAAUCCUGCACGUGGUGAGGGAAAAAGCUUUUUGGUAUUUUAAAUAGAAGAACAAUUUGGCGUCAUGUUGCGUGUUUGGCAGAUGACUCCGCCUCCCCCGAAACCCUCUAAUUUCCUCUCCCUCCGAUUGGCGUCCUUUUAUUUCUUUCCUUCCCUUUCUUUUCAAUUUUAGUCCACCAGCGUUUGUUUCGUCGUCGCUCGAAUGAUCUUCGAUAUUCGGCGAAUCCGGCGUGUCUGCUUGCCUCCCACGCCGCAUUUGUUUCCGUGCAUCUCGGACGGCGGCGGCGGCGGAGCAGCGGAUCCGAGGGGUCCUCCGAGGAGGAGGAAAGGGGGCGGAGGAGGGAUGUGAGGUGGAGCUGCGCGUAAUCUAGCGGAUCGGAAGCGUGGCGUCGUCGACUAGGGACGUGUCGAGGACGAGAGGCAUCAGCGCAAAAUGAAGGAGAAAAGGGGAAGAACUUGGAACGACAAGCGCAAGACAUUGUCAAAGAGGCAACUCAGAAACUAAAUCAAAACGACAUUCGGGCUCUGGUCAAGGCAGGCUGAAACCUAAAACAGACUCCUAAAGACAGUGGUUUUCUUCUAUGAAUCAGUUUUUGCUGCUCCGAAAAGAUGGACGUGAAUUGCAAAAGCUACAAAGGUGCUUCCCUGAGGUAGGUGAAUUAAGCAAAUGUCGAGGAUGCUACUCAGGAAACCUAUUGAAUUUGAGCAUUGUUAUUACAGAAGAGGGACUUAUCUCGAAUCUGGAAGAAUGCAAAAGGUCCACACAUAAGGUUCCUGAUUAUCUGGUUUCAUCGACUUAAACCAGAGGCAACUGGGCAUUAUAGCACGGUCAUCACUGAAAAUUUACUUACCUUGAAUUCCCAAGAAAAACUCCUGAGGUGGCGAAGCAGAAGUACGGAGUUGGUAUGUUUAGAUAACAGCAACACCACAUUCUUUAUUCUUUCCUUGUAGGAAACUUACAGGCAUCCUUCUGUUCGUAUGUUUAAGUGGGUAUGCAUUGCCCAUCACGAGUUGAAUAUAGUCUUGUUAUAAUAUAUAAUU